UUGUGUGAGUACAGAGAGCAUC
rnacentral:miRNA from 1 species